AAUCCUUAGUGGGGCUUUGGCCGGAAGGAAAGGUGAGUUGGCUCAGGGAGUUGACUCAAGUUCAAGGGAGUUGACUGGUGGAUAAAAUAGAGAGAGACUUGAGAAGCUGACUCCAAAACAAAGUUGAACCAAGAACAUGGUGAAAUCACACGGAGCUCUGAGCACACAGCUCUCCACGGGUCUGGAGAGCAGCUAGUGCUGAUUUUUCUAUAUUUAUAUUAGCCAUUUCCAGCCAGUUGCCAUGGAUAUCCAGAAGAGCAGGGAGGAAGCAGGGAACUGGAUACACUGCAGCCCACUGUGCAUCUGAGACUGGGAAGAGAAGACCAGGAGGAGGCAGUGAUGGAAGCUCCUGAAGAGGGAAAUGCGGCCAGGACUUUGAGGUUUGCUGUCAGA